CUGGUUCAGAUUGAACGCUGGCGGCAGGCCUAACACAUGCAAGUCGAGCGGUAGCACAGAAGAGCUUGCUCUUUGGGUGACGAGCGGCGGACGGGUGAGUAAUGUCUGGGAAACUGCCUGAUGGAGGGGGAUAACUACUGGAAACGGUAGCUAAUACCGCAUAACCUCGCAAGAGCAAAGAGGGGGACCUUAGGGCCUCUCGCCAUCAGAUGUGCCCAGAUGGGAUUAGCUAGUAGGUGAGGUAAUGGCUCACCUAGGCGACGAUCCCUAGCUGGUCUGAGAGGAUGACCAGCCACACUGGAACUGAGACACGGUCCAGACUCCUACGGGAGGCAGCAGUGGGGAAUAUUGCACAAUGGGCGCAAGCCUGAUGCAGCCAUGCCGCGUGUGUGAAGAAGGCCUUCGGGUUGUAAAGCACUUUCAGCGAGGAGGAAGGCGGUAAGGUUAAUAACCUUAUCGAUUGACGUUACUCGCAGAAGAAGCACCGGCUAACUCCGUGCCAGCAGCCGCGGUAAUACGGAGGGUGCAAGCGUUAAUCGGAAUGACUGGGCGUAAAGCGCACGCAGGCGGUCUGUUAAGUUGGAUGUGAAAUCCCCGGGCUUAACCUGGGAACUGCAUUCAAAACUGACAGGCUAGAGUCUUGUAGAGGGGGGUAGAAUUCCAGGUGUAGCGGUGAAAUGCGUAGAGAUCUGGAGGAAUACCGGUGGCGAAGGCGGCCCCCUGGACAAAGACUGACGCUCAGGUGCGAAAGCGUGGGGAGCAAACAGGAUUAGAUACCCUGGUAGUCCACGCUGUAAACGAUGUCGAUUUGGAGGUUGUGCCCUUGAGGCGUGGCUUCCGGAGCUAACGCGUUAAAUCGACCGCCUGGGGAGUACGGCCGCAAGGUUAAAACUCAAAUGAAUUGACGGGGGCCCGCACAAGCGGUGGAGCAUGUGGUUUAAUUCGAUGCAACGCGAAGAACCUUACCUACUCUUGACAUCCAGAGAAUUAGCUAGAGAUAGCUGAGUGCCUUCGGGAACUCUGAGACAGGUGCUGCAUGGCUGUCGUCAGCUCGUGUUGUGAAAUGUUGGGUUAAGUCCCGCAACGAGCGCAACCCUUAUCCUUUGUUGCCAGCGAUUCGGUCGGGAACUCAAAGGAGACUGCCGGUGAUAAACCGGAGGAAGGUGGGGAUGACGUCAAGUCAUCAUGGCCCUUACGAGUAGGGCUACACACGUGCUACAAUGGCGUAUACAAAGAGAAGCGACCUCGCGAGAGCAAGCGGACCUCAUAAAGUACGUCGUAGUCCGGAUUGGAGUCUGCAACUCGACUCCAUGAAGUCGGAAUCGCUAGUAAUCGUAGAUCAGAAUGCUACGGUGAAUACGUUCCCGGGCCUUGUACACACCGCCCGUCACACCAUGGGAGUGGGUUGCAAAAGAAGUAGGUAGCUUAACCUUCGGGAGGGCGCUUACCACUUUGUGAUUCAUGACUGGGGUGAAGUCGUAACAAGGUAACCGUAGGGGAACCUGCGGCUGGA
rnacentral:rRNA from 1 species